rnacentral:lncRNA from 10 species
UUUAGCUCCUGGCGCUGCUGGCUUCUGGGCGGUUUUUGUCUUUUGAUUUCAAGAGUUAGGAGCUCGAGAACCGUUUGGCAAUAUGUACGACGCGGAUGAGGAUAUGCAAUAUGAUGAGGAUGAUGAUGAAAUCACCCCGGAUUUGUGGCAAGAAGCAUGCUGGAUUGUAAUCAGGUAACUUUGGACCAAACUGAAUUAGCCUGAAAAGGCACUUUAGAUUUCCUGCUUAUUCUUCUUGAUAAAUAGCUCUUCUAUAUAAAUAUGCUACAUGAGAGUAGUUAUUUUAUUUAUAUAUUUAACAUUUUAAGUAUUUCAGAUCUAAAAGUUACACAAAGAAUUCAUUUAAUCAUUUUAACCAGAUUCCGAAAAUGUUACCCUGUACUACAUUUCUUUGUCUUUUUCUCUUUUUGUAUAUAUAUAUUUUUUUCUGAAACAUGUGAGAGUAACUUGCAGAUCAUUUGACCCUGGGAGGUUGAGGUUACAGUGAGCGAAGGUCGCACCGCUGCACUCCAGUCUUGGUGAUAGAGUGAGACCCUGUUUCCAAAAAAAAA